ACCUGCUCGUUUCGCGUUUGCAUCGUUCGCGACUGUGUAAUAAGUGGCAAAGGUGUCUUAUUUUGGAACACCGGGUGGAUGCCGCGAAGAGAAACCAACUAAAGCCGUUCGAUGCAGCCGAUCAUCGACUGUUUCUCGUAAAAUCUCGACAUCAUCGACAUCGCCGAUAAACCGUCGCGUCGUGUCGAUCGAAACGGGCCAUCGCGGAUCUCUCCUGUUUAUUGGAACAAUUCCAAAGACAUUUCCGUUUUGGCCGAGUGCAGUAAAUCUUCGUGCUGUAAUAUUCGUAUAAGUUUGCGACUCGUGUAACUUUGUUUACAGCUGUGUUCCAUCUGGAUCUGUUCUCCGCGAAAUAUUUGGAAUUUUUAACGCGAAACACCACUUUUCGUAAUCGUUACGCUACUGUUUAGAUUGCAAUAAUACUGGUACUGCUAAAAUUGCGAAUUGAUCAUAUUUUAUAAGAACUUAUAGACUGAUAAUCGUUGAUGGACAUUUAAGGUAUCAGCGUUUCUUUUUCUCGACCUUACGGUCGAAAUUCAAGGAGACCGCGCCUAGAUCUAGCAAACAGUAUCGUCACGCUGUGCCGUCAAGAACAACGGCGUCUUUGAGAAGAUUCGACGCGUUCGAUCGACAGGAUCCGACGAGUACAUGCCCUUCGCGCGAACGUAAGGUAAAUACAGCGAUAAAGCGAAAUGAAACGUGCCGUGCGAUGGAAUUUAGUCUCUCGCGAUAGAGAAACGCUGCUAUAGAUGUUAUUACAUAAAAGAUAACGGGUGCGGACAACCUACUUUGCUCGUGCAAGAUUAUCUUUUUACGUAACCCGUGGCCAAGCCGAAGAUAUUUAAAGGACUUUGUACUAUUGCCACUGGUUACGGUCGUGUUUUACGAGGCGAGAGGGAUGAUUUGAGCGAACCAGAACGGCCAACCCGAGGAUGUUUAAAUUUCAUGCAAAACGUUUCCUGGUACGUUUGGCCGAUCGUUCACCGUUCCAAGAAUUUCCUCGUUAACCGGCGGUACACACCUGACUUCCUUGGUUUGAAAAUCGGAAAAAACAUCCUCCGGCGAGAUAACGACGAUAACCGUAUGAUUUAUAGUAAUUCGUGAAGUAAUUACGACUUGACUAAGCUGCCGCGAAUGUGAUAGGAAACAGCGAUUCGUUCUUUGACUUUGACAUUCUGUACUAAUUAUUUAUCGAUGUAAAUAUAUAUAUAUAUAUAUGAUACUUAUCAUCAUUGUGUAAUAAGAAUUUAUUUUUUACUCGUGAAGAUUCCCAUUUCUGAGUCUGUUGGGAAACAGAUUGACAAAUAACGAUGUAAUAGCAUAAUAAUAAAAGUUAUCGAAGUAGUAAAUGUAUGAAGUAAUAAUUAAAAAUGUAGAUAUAUAAAUACAUUUGAAAUCACAGAAUGUCAAGGAUCGAUUUUAAACGUCCAAACAAGUUAUAUCAGUCGAGUUAGAAGCGAUGGAAUUUUGCGCUAGAAUUUAGUACCUACACCACCCACUGUACCGGGUUGAAAGAAACCACAAAUCGUUCUGUCCGAUAACUGUUGUAUUAAACCUGCGAGCAAACAAACAGAUAAACGAAUCGUCGACUCGUUGACCCAGUUACUAUACUUUGUGGUAGACACUCGUGUGCGCAGUUCGACUAACCCGCGAGAAAACCAGUCGCGUUUCUAUCUGAACGACUCGACAUUCCGAUCCCUUGUCAGAUUAAGAAUAAUCGAACGAAUGACAGUCGAUCGCGAAUCGUCUCGGUUAUCUUCAACGAACAAUUCGCCGAUCGAAAAUCAACCACGAAGAAGCAUGUCGAGCAAUUUCAAUUUUACAGCGAAAUGACGAAUUGAUCAAACCACAGGCAGACAUUCGGCUUAUGUAACCGGAAUAAUGUACAGAAUGGAUUAGGCCAAUUAAAUGUAGCUAUUUGUAACAUCGCGACUUUUAUUGUGCCACGCGUUAUCGCUAAGCGUAUCACGUAAAAGAUGCGUUAGAAAGUUGCGGUGUCGAGUCGAGACGUAAACACGCAUGUACUUGACAACAUACCGAUUAAUUUCUAAUGUAAUUUCUAAUGAUCGUUCCGAGUUCGUGUCAAUGGUCUUUGCAAACUUUCCUUCCUCGAUUCUAUUAUUUUCAUGCUCUCUGUACUUACAUAUUAUAUCUAGCGAUUAAAUUCCAAGAUGUCAAGAAGAAAGCUAAUCCGUCCUUUAACUGUUAAAAAUAGUCGCGAGAUUUUAAAGGACAAACACUACAUUAUAUGAAUCAUAAACAAUACAAUAAAAAUAAAACUAUCGUCGUUUUUCAUUGCUUCUCAUUAUAGAAGAAUUACCUACAGAUACCUACAGAUAAGCACACAGAUCGCGUAGAAAAAUCGGACCAAUCAUCAUGGAAGAAUCUUUUUUACGAUUUUCUAAACUCUCCGAUUUCUAUCAAGCAAACGAUUACUCGAAUAAACUGCUAGCUCUAUUCGAAUGAAAAUGGAAGCGAUGGAAACGGGCGAACCUAUUAAUAAAAAUCACUCGUUCCCGUCUCCUUGAGGUCUACGUGUAUGCAUUUCCUACGUGUGUUCAGCAUGCGAACGAUAAGCCGAUCGUUAGUUUGCACGUGUUCCCUGGUACACACGCGUAAGUACUUUUGAUACGUGACAUCACUCAGCGGCGGAUUGCUCCGUCAAUCGUAGCUUCCACGCUCGCCAGAACAGCGUCGGGGCUCUUCAAGGCCUGCUAUAAAAUUCAUCAGACAACCAUAAAGCUCUGUAAAUUCAGCGUGUGGACGAGCGCGUGUAUCGCGACGGAGGAAGCAAGUUUCGAGGCGAUCGCCGUGCCGAGUACAAAUCCAUCGUGAAACGGUAAACAACGGUCAUCCACGCGCAUUCUGAUCAUCGUAGGCGUAACAUUACGCGAACAAGCUGACAAUCACGACAGGGAGUGGUGAAAGGUCGAAUGAGACGACUUAUACGCAUUGAAAUUUCAUUAUUUACGCUGUAUCAAAUAUUUUCUUCGUCUCAAUAAAAUGUACAACUUCGA